GAUGAAGAACGUAGCGAAAUGCGAUAAUUAAUGUGAAUUGCAGAAUUCUGUGAAUCAUCGAGUCUUUGAACGCACAUUGCGCCUCAUGGCAUUCCGUGAGGCAUGCCCAUCUCAGCGUUAGAAAAUAUUCUCAAAUUUUAGUUUUGUGCUAAAAUUUGGAUCAUGUCAAAGAAGCUAUUACUAUUAUUGUGAUCGCUCUUUGGAAAUUGAUAGGUCUUUGAGUUGUUACUCAUAGAACGUGAUGAAUCUUUCUUCGUUCUAUUGUAAUUCACUCUGGUAGUCCUAAAACUUGUAUGCCUGUGGCAUAUCUUGUAAUUUGACCUGAGAUUGGGUAGGGAUACCCGCUGAACUUAAGCAUAUCAAUAAGCGGAGA
rnacentral:misc_RNA from 1 species